GUGAUACGUUUAUUGUUUCGGUGAGUAACUACAGUCCAAGUGUGUGGUACAUGUUCCUCUGCAGCUCGUCACACUCAGAUAUAUUCAUAAAAAAACAUCAUCUACAUACAUCUAAUACGAAACACGUCAGAGUGAGUCACUGCCUCAGGGACAGACGUGACCUAGUAAGUGCUGGCUCUUCAUAUGAUCACAUUAAUAUAAUAAAUCUGUGCUUAAAUAAAACCUUCUGAAAUACAAGCACACACACACACAGAGCGAGCGGCAGGCGCAGGUACGGAACACACACACACACACACCUGUGACAUCUCAGAGGAGAUUCUUUGGUUUCUUCAAAUGUCUGAUAAAUGAUGUAAAGCACAAACAAACAGCUGGAAUGUGACAAAAACAACAUGUUUAAAGGUACGACUGGGACGUCAGCGACACGUUCACGCAGCAGAGACGCUUCAAAGUGAUAAAAAAACAACAUGACCCCCGUGUAGCUUUAAGGCUAACAGUUUAAGGCACAGGUGAUGUUAGCUCACAGAGGACUCCAUGGUCAAACCGCUCAGAGUCUAAAUAAAAGUGUUUGAAACAUGAACAGAAGGAAGGAUAAAAACUACAAGACGGGAUAUUUCAAAACGUUAAUCAUCGUUAGAAUCGCCCUCUUACUCUCACAGAGCCUGACAGCGUCUGGUCUUGUUUCUAUUCAGGUUGUCGUGACGCGAGCCAGCGCUCUGCGUCGGCUUCAAAUCAUCACAACAGGAAAACUGUACGGGAGACUUCAUUACCCAGAAUCCCAGUGUGGUUAAGGAGUGAUGUCAGCCUAAAUCUGCUUCCAAGUCGAGUCACCGGACCUCCAGUCCUUGUUGAGUCUCAAGUCCAAGUCGAGUCCUCAAAGAAAAAUCUGAGCUGAGUCAAAAGUCCUGUCCCUCCCAUGAGUCAGAGUCAGAGCAAAGUUCCAAGAUGUGUUUCAGUCCCCAGAGCUAAAGUCCAAGUCGAGUCACCAAACCUCCAGUCUGAUCCUAGUUGAGUCACCAAAAUAAAUUUGAGCCAUGUCCGAGUCCUGUACCCCCGAAGAGGUGGGGAAGGUCCAGAAGGUUGAGUCUAAGCAAAGUUCCAAGUUAAGUCUCGAGUCCAAGUCGAAUCACCAAACUUCAAGUCCCAGUUGAGUCUCUAGUCCCCAGAGCUCAGGUCCAAGUCGAGUUACCAAACCUCCAGUCCCUGGUUGAGUCUUUAGGUCCCCAGUGCUAGAUUCACCAAACCUCGAGUCCAGGUCGAGUCACCGAAGAGUCUGAGUCCAGUCCCUACUAUCCUAGCCUCAGUCCGAGUCCUCAAGUUUGAGUCUGAGCUCCAGAUGGGUUUUUUUUAACAGUAAGGCAACAACUACAGCUCUCAUAAUUCAUUUUGUCUUAAAUAUGAUGAGAGCUACAGCAACAUGCUAACAUGCUAAAGCUUGUUCUGAGUUACUGACAUGUUUACUGUCGUUUAUAUUUCCAAUAAGCAGAUCGAUUUAUUGAUUUAUCGAUUUAUCAAAUAAAAAUGUAUAAAAUUAAUAGUUCUUCGUGAU